AGUGAAGAUUCUCGGAGGGUUCCAGCUGCCCACUGCUCGCACAAUACCCGCUUAGAGGAGCAAACGCCAAUCACCGCAGCGUGCUUUGGAUGGAGCAGAUAACUUCUGGUCAGCAGCUUUGUUGUCACCUAGGCCUCUCUUAAGGACAAAGACAUGAAGAGAAAUAGCUCCGCUGGUUCCACUGGUCCUGUCAUGGGGAGGGACCAGGAGCCUAUGUAGGGAAUGAUCUACAGGGUUAAGAAAAGUCAUCUUCAUGAAUGAGGUAUUUUUGAAGACGAAAGCAGGAUCUGAAGUUGGAAACUUCAUCAUGGAGUGCGACCAUGGUGCAUACUGCUAUCUAGCCAGUGAGGUUUUUCUAUUAACACUGACCCAAAGAGAAGCUCCGAGGGAUGAAAGGGUUAUUAUGUGACCGGACACCUUGGGUCACCUGGGGACUGUUCUCCUUCUCCAGAUACAGCCUAUUUUGAAACAAGGACACUUCACCUUUUCCUGUUGAAACUGUUCCUCUCUGUGAAAGAAACUCACAGGUAUGUUUGCCCACAGAACCUGAGUCAACUCAGAUGUGAGGAGAAGUGGGAGAUCUUCAUCUCUGCUCUUCUACAGCCAUUCCUGCUGUACUUGAUCUGAAAGAUAUGUGAAGUAAAACAUUAGCAAGAAUGCUGCCAACAAUGAGAUAAAUGAAGGAUGCUUAGUGGCGGAUAAUGCUGAAAGUUGAACUUCUUUGACCGAAGAGCUACAGCUUCUUCACACUGUGAAGACUGAAGUGUUUCUAUUCCUUAAAGGAGAAUAUAUGAGGAAAUUUGGGUGACUUUAAACGCUUGAAAGAAUUUAGAUAGUGCCAAAGCUAAGCAGUAGAUGAGUGGAAAAUUAGAACAUUGAAUUUUGUUUUAAAUCUCAUCUAAAUCACCUGAAGUCUUGAGUAGGUCUAAAACUCAGCUGAUGUGUGUUUAAAAUAGCUACCAGUGGGAUGGAUUUGUUGAUAUUUAUCUCGGGAAUGUUGUGCUGAUAAAUGUGUCAAGUUCUCACCUAUUACAGUAAUAACUGUACCAUAUAUGGAUGUAGACAAAUAAAAAGGUGUUUUAAAUGGCUU
rnacentral:lncRNA from 7 species